GGAUGCAUAGCUCAGGCGGCAGAGCAUUCGGCACACCGCCGAAGGUCCCUGGUUCAAGUCCAGGUGCGUCCA
rnacentral:tRNA from 2 species